CCUACGGGGGGCAGCAGUGAGGAAUAUUGGUCAAUGGUCGGGAGACUGAACCAGCCAAGCCGCGUGAGGGAGGAAGGUACAGAGUAUCGUAAACCUCUUUUGUCAGGGAACAAAGGCGGGGACGUGUCCCCGGAUGAGUGUACCUGAAGAAAAAGCAUCGGCUAACUCCGUGCCAGCAGCCGCGGUAAUAAGGAGGAUGCGAGCGUUAUCCGGAUUUAUUGGGUUUAAAGGGUGCGCAGGCGGGCUGUAAAGUCAGCGGUAAAAGCCCGGGGCUCAACCCCGGCCCGCCGUUGAAACUGGCAGUCUCGAGUUGGAGAGAAGUAUGCGGAAUGCGCGGUGUAGCGGUGAAAUGCAUAGAUAUCGCGCAGAACUCCGAUUGCGAAGGCAGCAUGCCGGCUCCACACUGACGCUGAGGCACGAAAGCGUGGGUAUCGAACAGGAUUAGAUACCCCAGUAGUC
rnacentral:rRNA from 1 species